CAUUGAUGUAAUGAAAAAAAAGCUCGCCGGAAAAAACAAAGAAAAGCAUGAACCUUUACGACGACGAGUCCCUGAAACAGGAGGUAAUCUACCUCCACUCCCUCUGGCACCAAGGCCCUCCGACCCGUAACCCCAUCCCCACCCCCAAUUUCAACCCGGCCCACAGGUCCAGGCCCAACUACAUCCCUCCCGCCGAUUUUCAGCUCCUCUCCCGCUACGCCGGUCCUCACAUCGCUUCGAGAAACCCUAAACGCCCCAGACCCGGGUCGGAUCGCGAAUGGCCCGUCUACGACCCGUCUCCCAAUCCCGCCACGGGAUGGCCCGAACCCGCCAAACCGUCCAAAAAGGCCCGACCUUUAUCAGAUUCCGAGAAAGCUAAGCUCGCCGCGAGUCAGAUCCAGAGAGACGCCCACCGCGCUUGCCGCGAGUUCUUCGGCAAAGAAUCAGAAUCGGAUGCUGACGAUGGAGAGGAGGAGUUAAGGUUCUUGUCGGGAGUGUUCGAGGAGAACGCGAAGCUGAAGGAGUGUUACGAGAAGAACACUGUGCACGGAGAGGUGUGGUGUCUCGUCUGCGGUGGGAGCGGUGAGAAGAGCGUGAGGAGGUUUAAGAACUGUUUGGCUUUGGUUCAGCACUCGCUUGCGAUUCACAAGACUAUGAAGAAUCAGCACAGGGCUCUGGCGCAGGUUGUGUGUAGUGUUCUUGGUUGGGAUGUUAACAAUCCGGUUGCUUCCAGCCAAAAGGACUCUCAUCAGGCAUUGGGGGUAGAGGCGGUUGCAGAAGGUGGAACCGAGUUGCCUCCAGACGCAAAGAAGCCUCAAGAGAAACAACAUGUGAUGUCUGCCGAUGAACAAGCAAAGGCCGUUGUGUUACAAAUGCAGCUAAAUGCAUCAGAAGCUUUGAAAGGCAUUUCUGCCAAGGAUACUACUACUGGUUCAGCUGAUGAAAUUGUGGAGUUGGAAUUGAUAUCUCGGCUCUUCUCGGAAAACGUUGAGCUCAAGAGUUACUACGAGGAGAACGGUGAAGGUGGACACUUUGUCUGCCUGGUGUGUAGUGCUGCGACUGAUAAGAAGAUGAUGAAGAGGUUCAAACACUGUCAUGGACUUGCUCUGCAUUGUACUAAAACCCCGAAAAUCGCAAUAAGAGCUCACAAGGCUUAUGCUCGGUUUGUAUGUGGACUAUUUGGGUGGGAGUCUGAUCAUCUUCCACGCAGAGUAGUGAAAGGCGGCGCUCCUCUUGUGGAGGAGUCUAGUGCUGACCAGAACAAUGAGAAGCCAUCGUUGAUGAUCGAGGAGGAUGCAAGCACAACCAAUAACAUAUUGUCCUCCUCUUCUGGGAAUUCAAUUUAAAAGAGUCAAAAGAUUAUGUUAAUGGAGGGGGCACUGAAUCUUCAGGAAAAGGCUAGCAAGAGAAAAACAGAGACAGUGACUCUGCAAAUUCAGAUCAAAAAUUGGGAGAGAAGAAGGUUUCAAAGAAGAUGAAUAUCGCCAUUAUACAUCCAGAUCUUGGUAUAGGCAUCUUUCAAGUUACGGUGUAUGGUUCUUUCCUGCCACGUCAUAUUUUCUACCGUCUGCAUGCAGUUUGUGCGUACUUGAGGUGCUUAUCUGUUGCUCUUUGUGUUCUCUUGGGAUGGUCUUCCUUCGAUGUGGUACUAGCAGACGAGCUUUCAGUCAAAAGAUCUUCAAAGGUUUUACUGUCUGCGUUCCAUUGUUUUAGGAGGGUAUGACGAACGAUUGAAAGAGAAUGUAGACUACUUAGAAGAGCUCAAAAACCUUAGCAGAGAAAGAAGGAAUUUUCUGCUCGAGUCAACUUCAUUACAUCUUGUUUAACCGCUGAAAGAAACGAACUUCUCUCAAGCUACACACCAACGGUAAUCAUCUGAGACUAGACUAAGACCGGACCGCAAGUGAAUCAAGACACUGAGAGUCAGAAAGAAUCUUCUUCUAGAACAAAACACAUAACUUUGACUAACGCUAACCUACGCGCAAGGAACACGUUAGCAAAGCAAUAGCUUCCCGGGAAGGCUCCGGCGCAUGUUAGAUCAUGUUCCGACACUAGUUUAAAAGACAAAAAAGGUAAGAUCCAAAAAACCGAACCUUGCGAUAAGUAGUACCAUCAGGUUCAACGAUCCAACCAGCUUCGUUACAGAGAGCUUUAAGCACUUCGUUGUUGUCACAAUGCUUGGGAAGCUCGUAGUUACCGUACAUUCUCAACCCGGUGAAGAUCUUCGCCGCGAUCGCUCUCCUCCUUCUCUCUCUCCUCUUGUUGUUCUCUCUCUCCCUCCACGUCGGCAUCCUCGUCCCUGACGUCAUCGAUCACUCUCUUUUUUUUCCUCCUCUUGUUUUUUAAAGAUAGAUCAAAUAGACAAUUCUCAAGGCUUAGCUCGUAAACUUUCUCUGAAACAAACACUCUCAGAUCUGACAAGAUGGAAACUUGCGCGUGCUCAGGCAAUCUCCGAUCAACUUGAACGGUGGUUGAAUUUUCCGGUGAUCGGAGGAAGUGGAGAAGAAGGAGCUUAAGCUAAUCAAGAACUUGUCUCGUGCCAAAGAAGAAGCUGUUUAUUAGUACUUCCAUAUAAGGCUAGAUUACCCAAUUUCCCCCGGAUAUGACCAUAUAUUUACGAAACUGCCACUACGUGAUGUCACGCGUGUCCUCCGGACCUAGCACGUGGGAACAAAUCUCUUUUUUUACCCACGGUUAAACCGUAAUAUUUACGAAAAUACCACGAGGCCGUUUUCGAUGACCUUUGGAACUUGGAAGUUUCCUUUUUCACGUGAUGGUGUGACCAUGUAGGGACACCAGUCACGCCACUCAAUUGCAAAGAUGGCUCGGUAGUCUCACGUGGCCGCGGGGCUUGUUGUGUGUGUCACCCACGUUUGUCUCUCUUAUCAUCAGAACCUUCUCUCUGUGUGUGUUCAAACUGGUUGUUGUUUCUGUCCAACAUGAAUGAGAUUCAGCAAAGAGACAGAACUUGCCUGAUGAUCAUCGGCGUUACAGACAAGACACAGAUAACUGUCUUUUUUUACAUUUUAUAGAAAAAAAUAUCUAUAUAAAUAUCGUGUAAUUACAAAAACUUAUAGUUAUUAUUGUAAAUAAAAUCAUCAUGAUAUAUUACUAA